rfam:Dipodomys ordii contig_8084, whole genome shotgun sequence.
GGGAAUGUGGCUUAGUGGUAGAGUGCUUGCCUAGCAUGCAUGAAGCCCUAGGUUGAAUUCCUCAGUACCA